AUGACCGGGGGUCGGGGGCGGCCCUCUAUAAAACCAUCCUUUUAAUAGGAGAGCCAUUAGAAAUAGCCACUAAGCCUCCUGAAUUGCUGACUGGCUUCAAUGUGAGGAAAAGAUUCCUCUCUAACAGACGGCUAACGACUUCUUUGUUAUUUGGUAAGGUAGCAACUUUCCUCCACACCGAUAGGUAUAUGUCUUGAGAGAGUGAUACCCCACACUGGUACUGAGACACAGACCCAACUCCUUUACGAUGUUCUUUGAGGAAUAAUGGAAUCUGGAGGAGUCUCCGAUCCAUUCAUGCUUCCCCCCCGAAGAAUGCCCUAUGGAUUGUAAACUACUUCUUUCUUUCAGAAACAAUGGUAUUUAGUCCACCUCCUCCUUUUC
rnacentral:rRNA from 1 species